rnacentral:lncRNA from 1 species
CCCUCUUUCCCUCCAGGGCCAUCUGCAUUCUAAGCUGUGCUUGCCUGGGUUUAGCUUUUCUCUUGGAAGCGCCAUCAGGAGGAGCAAAGGGUGAUUCUGAGACCAGGUCUUCCUCCAGGGCCCCUGAGGGCAGCCCCACCUUCUCUGUUUGGGAGGAGCUCUCAGACAUUUGCGUUGACACAACUAAGAGAUACCAUGGCUCUUUCCGGGUCACAUCUUAGCAGAUACAGAAAAUCAACCCGGCGAAAACACUUACCUCCAAGUCAGAGAGACAUUUAAUGGCACUGAGACCUGUGGGUGUGGGUCCCAGUCCAGGCAACAUCUGAAGGCAGAGCGGUGCCCGUCAUAGCAUGGAGUUGGGGCUUCGAGGGUCUUAUCUCUGGCUGACCUGAGCAUUGGCUUGACUGGCCAAGAGAGUUGGGGAAGAAGGAGAAUUCUUUUUUUUUUUUUUAAGACUUUAUUAUUUUUUACAGCUCUUUUAAGGUUACAGCAAAACUGAGAAGGUUCAGAGGUUUUCUAUGUAGCCCAUCCCCACACAUGCUUAGCCUGUCCUGCUGCAAUGCCCCCUCCAGAGUAGCGCAUUUGUUACAGCUGAUUAGUCUAUGCUGACACAUCAUUAUCACCUGCAGUCUUUAGUCCACAUUAGGGCUCACGCAGUGGUGUACGAUCUAUUAGUCUGGACACAUCUAUGAUGACAUGCACCCACCAUUAUAGUAUCAUAGUAUUUUCACUGUCCAGAUAGUCCUCUGUGCUCUGCCUUGUCAUCUCUUCCUCCCUGACUCCUGGCAACCACUGACCUUUCUCUUGGUUCCAUAGUUUUGCCUUUUCCAGAAUUUCAUAUAGUCAGAAUCAUAUAAUACAUAGCCUUUUCAGACUGGCUUCUUUCACAUACUCAUAAGCAUGUAAAUUUCCUUUUCAUGGUUUGAUAGCUCAUUUUUUUAGUGCUGAAUAAGACUCCAUCGUCUGGAUGUACCACCAUGUAUUUAUCCAUUCACCUACUGAAGGACCCCUUGGUUGCCUCUAAGUUUCAGCAGUUAGGAAUUCAGCUGCUAUAAACGUCCAUGUGCCAGUUUUUAUGCGGAGAUAUGUUCGCAGCUCCUUUGGGUAAAUGCCAAGGGGCAUGAUUGUUGGAUUACAUGGUAAGAGUACUUUUAGUUUUGUAAGACACCACCAAACUCUUCCAGAGUGACCACAUGUAUCAUUUUCAUUCCUGCCAACAAUGAGUGAGAAUCCUUGUUGUACCAUAUCCUUGCUGGCGUUUGCUCUUGUCAGCAUUCUGAAUUUUGGCCAUUGUAAUAGGUGUGUAGUGGUAUCCCAUUGUUAUUUAGAAGGAGAAUUCUUCAGAUAAAGAUUCCCUCUAUUUCUCUCCUACAGAGAGGAUUUACCUCAGGCCUAAAGCUGUUAUCUCUCUGGCUCUGACCAUGGUGCUGAAUCCUCGUAUCUUGAAAAUUCAGCUCCUACAGUGGCAGUAGAUUCACAGUCUCAUAGCUGUGCGAUGCAUUAAAAGUGGUAUGAGGAAGAGUGUGUCCUUCCUAAAGCCAUGUAUUUAAGCUACAGAGCUUAUCUGCUCCCUUCUGACGAAGAAGAUUUGGGGAGAAUUUCUAGCUAAAAUUUACAAUUUAGGAUGCUCCAAGGUCCUGAACUACAUCUGAGUGUGAGCAGAAGGUUCUCAACCAACUGGUGCCAAAGUAAACUGAAUGCAGGUCAAGUACCAUAUUUUCCUCCUCAAUUUCUAAUGGAAUAAUAAUAGCUAUGCCAUAGUUCCUCAGACAAUGACCACAGACAGGCUUCUCCUUCUCAGAGAGGGAGAUUCCCAACUUCAGGGUGGUGCUGCCAUGCUGACAUCCAGCAAAUUUGUUUACAUAAAGCUUUAUCAGAGGUUAAUCCUCUAAAGACAGAAUUUGUGGGAAAGAGCCAACUCAAUCCCCAAUCUCUCAAGCCAACUCAACUCGACACAAAGUGCCAACAUUGCGCUAGGCAUGUGCUGGGAAACGUGAACCCUGACAUCAAGAAGUUUAUGGUCUGUUAGGUGAGAAAAACAUGAAUGUGAGUGAUGCUAACAGCAGGCAGAAUGUACCAUGUGCAUUAAGAGAGGUACUGCAUAUUAGAAGAAUUGCAACAGGACAGUGAUCCACUCUGCUCUAAAACCUAAGCAGAGAGUUCUCCAGAGUCCUAAGGUCUGGUCUUGACCUUUCACUCACCUUCCAAGCCAGGAUGGAGGCAGACAUGUCUGAAUUGAUGACAUCUGGUCAGCCAUGAACUUCUUUUUAGAGAUGCAUUCCACCUUGCUACGAGAUCCUGGUCACGACCAGGCCGGGCAGGGCACAAUAGUGUUUGUAUCUGUUCUAUGGAAACAGACUGCAGCUCCAUCUCCACCCGUUCUCUGCAAAUGGACAAGGCAGAAAUUAGUGUGUGGAGGUGGUAUAAGCAAAGGGGCACACCCGGGAAUUGGCUUAGGGAGGAUGAUAAAUCACACUGUCUGGCUUCCCUCUGCUGACUUGGGAGGACCCUGGUCAGCAAGAGGAUGAGAGCAUCUUUCACUCAAUUAAAUAUCAAGUUUUCCUCCUGCCCUUCUUUUGGAUCCCUUUCUCAGAACUCACAAAAGUACUUCAGAGAAAGUUGUGGCGUGCUGGCUGAACAGCAUGGGGAGAAGAGCAUGCGGUCUUAAUAGCACUUGCAAUCAGUUUACCAUAUGUUGAGGUGGAAAUGGCCUGAGCAGUAGAGUUCUGAGCGUGUUACAGAAGAACGCACCUCUCAGGGUCUAGACAGUGCUUGCAACACUGUAGAUGCUCAACAAAUCUUUAUUCAACUGAAGUUGCUGAGAUACUAAAGGAAUGGGGAACAGCUGCUCCCCAGGGCCAGUGCUGUGCUCCAGAAGGCAACGAGGAACUAGCCAUGCGUCUGGACUUCAGACCAGUUGUUCACUCCCACAGCUCAGCAGACCAUCAUCUUCCCAUUCUACGCCCCAAGGAACUCUUGCUGCUGGAUCAAGAGGCAUGAGCCAAGGAAAAGCUCACCAGGGACCUAGAAUCAAGUCCAUCUCAGCUGACCACAUUAUUUUCAAGUAAAGAAGGCCACAAGCCCUCUUUUUCUCUUCAUGGCCAUUGCUGCCCUCAUUUUCAAGACAUUUCAAUGAAGUAUUGCUAAUUGACCUUACCUUCUAGAUGGGAAAAAUGAGGCUAAUGGUUUCUUUCAGCCCAUCAGUGUGGAACCAGGGCUCUUCCAAGGCCAGGUCCCCCCAGGAAUCUCUUAUCUGUUGUUUGUCACUGAAGCUCUGCUCGUUGACAUUUCUCCCGGCCUUGCCCCCAUCCAACUCUAUGUUUUGGUUUGUUUUGCACAUGCAGGAAGUCAGCAAGUGAGCUGGGAUGAGAACGUAGCUCUGUGUACCAUCCACACCUUGUUCCUUUGUCCUUAUUCUCCUGCCUGCCCUUGACCUUCCCUCUGCCCUGUUCAGUCACAGGAAGGAAGCCCGAAGGGAGGGGCAGCUGUUUUCAUAAAGUAAAAAUGCCUCCUACAAGAGUAUACCCAAGGGCUGUGUGCUUUUUUCUGAGACCAGUUCUGACAGCUAAGAAGGCUGGCGCCCAACUGGCACACACCAGUACCUUUGUCCUGUCACCUCCUGCCACAUCAAGCCUUUGGCACAGGACUGGCUACUCAACCUCUGCCAGGCCUGCACCAUCUCUGCCCAACCCAUGGCGGGUGGUGUCCAACAUGUUCGGUGUUGACACAGCCUGGUCCAGCGCCACAUUUUUGUGGAGCAUUUCCCCACCCCCACCCUCACCCCCCCCCGGGGAGGCAGGAUUUGUAAAAGCUGUUGACACACUGUCGCCUUUCUUCCUCCUACGACCCUACGACUUUUGACGAACCAGCUCCCUGUCCACCUACAGACCCCUCUCACCUCCCAGAAGGAAGAAUUAUGUGCCUACCACUGCUCACCUCUUCAACUUAGGAAAGUGCUAAUCCUGAGAUGGCAAGUCUGAGAUGGCCUGAAGCUUCCCAACCGCACCCACAUACCAGGGCAGUGCCAGCCAAGGCAGUUAUCUGUUGUUUCCAUGCAGUGGGCAGGGCUGGCCACUGGAUUGGAUACCAAGGCCACCUGGGUGGAAUGAGCCUUUUCAAAACAGGGUGGAUCCAAAGCCGCUGGCUGAAGUUUCGUACUGUGGCCUUGGGAGAAAGUAAAUGAGGGGUGUGGCGCCCAGAACUUCUAGAAUCAGGUCAAGGGAAUUAAAAAUUAAUGCCCCCAAAAUCCUUCCAUCAACUUAAAACCCAGUUUCUAUAGGGUUCUAAGCUCUAGUCUCAGAAAAAUCAAAACUCACAGCCAUGGGUGGCCAUUGUUUUUAGGUGGCGUAAAACAAAGAAGAUGCCAGUCUCCCUUCCCUACCUCACUGACCCACUGUGACAAUAGUUCUCCCUUGGGAUACCUGUUUUACCAACUGUAGAAUGGGUCAAUACUGUUAAAAUCCUUUUCGAAGUCUUUUUUUUUUAAAUAAAGGAAUGAUUGGUUAGUGAAGCUCCUGCUUUAACUAUAUGCUGCAUGAAAUGAUCAAACAUAACUUUUACCCAGCAGACUCUACCCUCUAAAACUUACAGCCCGCAAAAGAAAGAGGAGGGUGAACAAAACUACUAAGGCAAAGGAAGGUGGCCGCAAGGUGACAGGUGUGUGGCACCUAUCCACUCAAUAAUAAUGGGGCAGUACAUCUGGGGUUCCAAGUAGCUUCAACUGGAUAUCAAAUGAAAACAUUCAGCAUCACAGAGCUGAUGUGAGUGUGUGUGGGAUCCAGAGAUAAAGGACUGUACCUGCAGUGCUCCUCCAGUUUCUUAGAGAACAGUCAGUAGACGCCCUUCCCUCAACAAUUCCCCCUGACCUAGGCAAAAACCAUGGCCUCAUUCCUCUCAUCUUUCUCAGCAAUACAGAAAAACAGUUCUCUUUCGUCAGCCACUAGCCUCCAGCCCUGUACAAGUCGUCUUGCUCCUUAUCCAUACAUAGCCUAACAUGCACAGGAUCCCAGGAGCUAUGCUGCCCUUUGGGUCCUGGAGCUGGAAAAAAGGACCAAAUCCAAUAUAGGACACAUAGUGAUGCUAUUACCCGGCACCUGUACUUUGCUCUAGUCUGUAGUUCAGUUGAGCUUGUUUUCUUGGCAUCAUUAUUCAAAAUUGUGUGCUAUUAAGAAUACACAUUCGGGGGGCCGCUGCUAAUGUAACCUGGGCAACCCCAGGUGCCUGCCAGUCAAGCCUCUACUGAGAUUUCUCCCCACGAUUCCAUGGCAUUUUCCAUGAUGAGCAAAUGACACAGGGCUCCUUGGACCUCUGGUCACUCCUUCCACUAGCCAUGCCAGUCAGCCAUCUAGAGGUCCACCAGCCACUUAAAUCUCUAAGCCUCUUGACCCCUCUGAACUGAAUUCAGACCAACACUUAGGCUCUAGACUUUGGUUUCCUGAUAAAUAGCACACUGAAAACUAUUUUACUGACACUUAAAAAGGCCAGCUGAAAAUGUCAUCUUUGAAAUAUACUACAGUUAAACCUUAUAGCUUUGGAAAAUCAGAAUGUCAGAUCUAAAAGUGACCUCAGCGAUGAUCUAAGCAGGGGUUCUGGACUUGGGGUUAAUACUCUUGAAGGGGUCUUGGACCCUCAGAGACCCGUGAACCUCCUAAAAUAUACUCCAAUUCUGUGUGUGUGUGCAUGUGUACCAUUUUUUCUUUUAAGGAAGAGGGAUCAGAGCUUUCAUUAGACUCUUUAAAAGGGACCCCAAAGGGACCACCUUGUUUUAGAGAUGAGAAAAUGUGGCUCCUUAACAUGGUAAGAUAGCUGGAACUAGACCUGGGCCGCCUGGCUUAGAGCUCUUUGCACGAUAUUACACCAUUUGCCUUAAAAACCUUAGAGACGUUCAGUUAAAUACAGUGACCCAUGGGCCUGUUGAUUUGCUUCUGAAGUCCCACUCAUAUGAUGAUAAAGGAUAAAGUAUGAACCGAUAAGGACAAAGAGCACAUGAGAGUCGACAGCAGCCCACGAAGCCGUCAACAAAAUCUCAGAGACAGACAGGUCCGCGGUAAGUAAACUUAGCAGGACAGAGAAGACUGAAACCUAAGACCCCAGAAGAGGAAGCCCCAGAAGGAAUCUGGCACGAGGCAGAUGGGUGGGAAGCUGGAGGUGCAGUGGUCGCUGCAGAUGGCCUGGAAACGGGACUCACCGGGAGACUGCGUCAGGGUUCAGUUCAGCUCCGUCUCCUCCCCAUCCUCCCAACACACCUUCCAGCCUCUGGGGCGUCUGCACCGGAGAAGCUCCGGACUUCGGCAUCUCAGGCACAGCCAAGGGAGGAUUAGGCGCCUUAUUCAAAAAAAGUCUUGUUGUGCAGUGAGCUUCUCUCAGUGCAGCUCCCAGGACCGGCAGCCAGCGUAUAAUACCCCUCGGAGCUGGACUGUCUGCGGCCAGGCAGCUCCCGGCCGUCACCAAGCCCGUCUAUGGCUGGCAGCCACGCUUCCCAGAACCCGGACCAGACAGGGUUCCAGAUCGUUCGCCAGUGAGAGGAGGGUGCGUGGGAUUUGGGUGCCUGAGUGAAGUGAAUGCCAUUAUGCCAAUGGGCACGUGUGCCGCGUUCACGGAUCUCUCCCCACAAGCUCCUGCUUUUGGUGGGUGGAUGUUGUGGCUUCUCAGGGUUUCUGGGGACCUCCAGCUUCUGCUCCAGGGCUGCAGGCUCAAGUCUUCACCGAUGGUUCCACUAGUUCUCUGGCUGCAGUUUCUCCGCAGCCUCCUUCCACAUGUGCGGAGGCGCUGAGGCCUAGCCUUACUUUAUUCCAGCAACAGCUGUGGCCAUGUCGUUCGUGUGAGCCUAAGACUGAUCAGACGGAGAGAGCGAGCGAACACCCCCCACACUUUAUAAAUAACGGCACCGGGAGUCCUCCGGGCGGCAGCUCUGUCUCCUCUCAAUUACCCUGCGUUAAUUUUCUGUGGCUGCUGUUCUAGGUUAUUACAAACUUAGUGAAACAACACAGAUUUGUUACCUUGCCAUUCUGGAGGCCAGAAGUCAGAUUCAGAUCUCACUGGGGUAAAAAUCCACGUGUUGGCUGGGCUGCAUUCCUUUCUGGAAGUUCUAGGGGAGGUUCUGCUUCCUUUCCAGCUUCAUGUGCAGCCCGCAUUCCUUGGCUCAGGGCCCUCUUCCUUCCUCUUCCAAGCCAGCCUCACUGCCUCUCUCUGACCUUUCGUCCACAAUCACGUCUCCCUCUGACCCCAGCGGGCAGGGUUCUCUGCUUCUAAGCACGCGUGUGAGUAGAUUGAGCCCACCUGGGUAAUGCAGGCUUCUCUCCCCAUCUCAAGGGCUUAACCUGAAACUCAUCUGCAAAGUCCCUCUUGCCAUGUGAGGUAACAUUUCCACAGAUUCUGGGGAUUAGGAUGUGGAUGCCUUUGGAAGGUCAUCCUCUGCCAGUCACACACCCCAAGAUGAGCCCACCAGCUGGUAAGUCCUGUUAGUGUGUGGAGAGCUUCCAACAGCUGUAAGGCCUCCAGGCUUGAAUAUGAGUAGAUGGCCAAGGAUCACAAGACAUCUGAGCAACCCUCUAACAUGAAAGACAAAACUAAGAAUUAAAACACAAAGAACCUGGAAUAAACAGCAACAAUGCAAGGAGCAGGAAGGGGGAAAGAAAAAAAAAAAAAAAGGAAUUCCUGUUGUGGCUCAGCAGGUUAAGUAUCCGUGAGGAUGCGGGUUCAAUCCCUGGCCUCGCUCAGUGGGUUAAGGAUUGGGUGUUGUCAUGAGCUGUAUGUGGCAGAUGAGGGUCUGAUUCGAACCCUAGCCUGGGAACCUCCGUAUGCCAUGGGUGCAGCCCUAAAGAGACAAAAAAAGGGGGGGAUACUUAUUUAACAUCUGAAGAAACAUUUGUGAAUCCUCAAAAUAGGAACAAAAGGUUGAGAAAGAAGGAAAAGAAAGGAAGGAAGAAAAAGAAAGAAAGGAAAUUCUCAGAUACUAAGCAUAUUAGAAGAAAUCAAAAUUCAGUAUUAAGUUUCAGAAAUACAGGUGGGAAUUUCCCCAGAAUAAGAUAAAAAAAAGAUAGAAAACUGGAAAGGAAAAAAUAAGAAAAAUCACAGGGCUGGUCCAGCGUGUCCAAUGUAGGAAAAACCACAGUUCUAGAAAGAAAGAACAGUGACAAUAAAUAAAGAAAUUACCUAGGAAGUAGCAGAGAAAUAUUGUUGAGCGUUGAAAGAAUCAACCUCCAGAAUGGAAGGGACAUUCAAUGUUCGGUCAAAUUAAUGAACAAAACCUCUAUCACACACAUAAUUAUGAAAUUUAAACAACACAAGGGAUAUAAACAGAAUCUCCUAAAAACUUCCAGAGAAAAGGCACCAGAAAUCAGCACUGCGUCAGGCUACUCAGCAACACGGGGCUGGAAAACGAACAUCUGAGGGGCAAUUUCUUCCAGUCAGGAAUUCCAGUCACAUUAUCAAUGAAAUGUAAGAGUAAGAUGAAAAGCCUCAAAUAACUACCUCCUGGUCACCCUUUCUUAGGGAAACUACUGAAGGAUGAACACA